AUGACUUCAUCACCGGGGGCGGGGAACAGCUGGACAGUUCGUGAAGUUGGGGCUCUUGUAAAAGCCCAUUCCCCAAGCUUGGUCUUUCUUGCUGAAACGAGACAUACAAGUGCAAAAAUUGAAAGAAUGAAGUGGAAACUAGGUUUGAAAGGAUUCUGUGGGGUGGAUUGCAAGGGCCGAGGGGGAGGACUAGCUUUGUUUUGGGAUGAAUCC
rnacentral:rRNA from 1 species